CUUUCCAGAGAUGGAUUGGUGCCUUCGGGAACUGUGAGACAGGUGCUGCAUGGCUGUCGUCAGCUCGUGUUGUGAAAUGUUGGGUUAAGUCCCGCAACGAGCGCAACCCUUAUCCUUUGUUGCCAGCGGUUAGGCCGGGAACUCAAAGGAGACUGCCAGUGAUAAACUGGAGGAAGGUGGGGAUGACGUCAAGUCAUCAUGGCCCUUACGACCAGGGCUACACACGUGCUACAAUGGCGCAUACAAAGAGAAGCGACCUCGC
rnacentral:rRNA from 1 species